UACGUAGGGGGCAAGCGUUGUCCGGAAUUAUUGGGCGUAAAGAGCGUGCAGGCGGCCACACAGGUCUGCUGUGAAAACUCGAGGCUCAACCUCGAGCUGUCGGUGGAAACCGUGUGGCUAGAGUCCGGAAGAGGAGAGUGGAAUUCCCGGUGUAGCGGUGAAAUGCGCAGAUAUUGGGAAGAACACCGGUGGCGAAGGCGGCGACCUGGGCCGAUACUGACGCUGAGGCGCGAAAGCGUGGGGAGCAAACAGG
rnacentral:rRNA from 1 species